ACGCACAAUGCAGUGUCUGGCUGCUCUCCAGUCUGUCUGUCCUAACGCUGAGGAGUUUCCUGAUCAGAGCAGGAACUCCUCUGCAGUGUGUGCUGUGCUCCGAUUGGCUGAGUGACACAUCACACACAAUCACUCAGCACAGACACUCCCCACCCUACACAGACAGUACACUGCCGAGAAAGUUGUACUGGAAUAAGUUGGAGGAGGAGUCAGGGAGGUUGCUGCUGCCGGAGACUGCAGUCAACAAAGAUGAAGAGCCUGAUUGCAAGGGUGGAUUGCAUAAAUCUCGUUAUUGUCUAUCAGGUGCUGGUAGUAUGAGACCAAAGACAUGGACAUGCUCAGAUAUAAAACUGAGGCCAUGGAGAUAGAUGAGGCUUCCACAAGUCAUGCAGUGCAUGUGAACCACCCAGCAUCAGUACUGGGCCCCCUAGUCACCAACGUUGUGGGAAGAUGCAGCACCUACAUGAGCCGCGUCGGCUCUAAUACCAUGCCAUCCAGCAUCUAAUCUGCUGCAGCAUUGCCAAGCAAACCACAAUGAAAGCGGUCUGAGGAUAAUGGUCACCACAGAAAAAAAAAUCCUUGUUGGGCUAUUUGUUCACCCUUUGGACAUCCUGGAACAAAUGUUCCUCAGGACCACUAUGGAAACUAAGAGUGACUCUUCCCUUUGUUCCAGUUCACUGAACCAUAGAUUGUACCAUCUGCAUGUUAUCUGCAAGCUGCUUAAUGUUAUAAUGACUACUGUAUAUUGAUUGCAUGCCACUAUUUUCAUAUUGUUGCCCUACUUACAGUCUCAGACUACCAAUUUA